GAUCGGUGAACACAGAGAGAGUCACUGAGACAAGCUUAGGGUUGACCCUAAGCUUGAACCAGAGGGAAAACUCAGACCUCCACCGAGUAGGAUGGGCAGUGGGAGGCUGGGGUGCAAUGAUCCUGAAGGAUGCUGAGGGACACACCACUGCUCCCGUGACCUCCACCUGACGUUCCUCAGGGAAGUGACACCCCCUCCAAAAUAUGCAACGAGAGAGGCCCUGGGGAGACGCAGGCUUGGGUUUCAGAUGUGGGCGAUUCUCACACAGGCUGCAGAUUCUAGGCCUUGGUCUGCAGCCCGCUCACUCCACGCUGCUGAGACUCAGUUUUCUCAUCUGCCAAGUGAGAGGUCUGGAUUUGGAGAUGAUUAUUACAGCUAAUAUUUGCUGAACAUUUACUGUGUGCCAGGCAUCGCGCCAGACACUUUGCAUCGGUACCUCGUUCAGCCUUCACAUCCGCCCAGUGAGGUGAGGAAACUGAGGUACAUGAAGUCACUUCCCCAAGGCCACCCUAGGCUCGUCUAGCUGGGAUCUGAACCCAGGCCUGCCUGGCUCCACGUUCUUCAUCCUCACACCCUGCUACCUCCUUGUUGCACCAGAGGGGGUCCCUGUGAGCCUCUGGCUUUCCUGCUGGAAGGACUUAAAGGAUCUCUCUUGCAUGUGGAAUUUGAGGCGCAUUUAAACAUUGUCCACACUAAGCCUGGUACGGAAGAUGGCCACCGAUCUCGGGGCAAGGUCUUCUCCCUUGGGCCUGUGUCUCCACGCCCAGGCCUGGUAUGCAGCAGGUGCUCAUGAGUGUCAGGAGCUGGACAGGAACAGUCAGGAUGCCUUUUGUGUUUCUGCCAGUGUCGCGAGCACCUGCUCUGGGGCAUGCACCAGGCUGGGUUCCAGGAUCUAACAGGGAGGAGAAGCUGGUCCCAUCACUGGCCUCAGAGGUCAGUGUCUAGCAGGGUCAUUCCAUGUCCCCUCGUCCCAGCCUCCUCUGGUCAGACUUCCUCUGAGGGGACAGGGGGUUGUUAAAUAUGCAAAGGAUGUGGAUUUUGGAGUCAGACACAUCUGAGCUCCAAUUACAGCUCUGCCACUUACUGGCUGUGCAUGGAACCUCGGACCGAUGGCCACCUCUCAGCCUCGGUACAAACGACAAUGCCUCAUUCUAGGCCCUUGGUGGGCAGACCCCCAGCAGGGCUAGGAGUCCCUUGAGCCCCAGGGAGGAGGAAGCCCGUAGGCAGGAGGGGUUCGGCUGUGGACAGGGGACCUGGCAGUCAGCUCCCAGAAGCUUCCGACCGUUGGUGGCUGUGGAGAGCGAAGCGGUAUGCAGGGGAAAUGAAAAGAGGCCAGACGUCGUCCAGGCCGCAGCACGCAAGGGCACCUCACUCCGCGCCUUCGUUCCCUCCCAGGCUCAGAAAGGGGAAGGCAGCCCAGACCAGGAAGUGGCCAGCUUCUGAUGGCCACCGCAUGGGGACCGCACCAGCCCCAGCAGGAAGUGGCUGGCCCCUUCCCACCCCCUGCCGAGCCAGGCCCUCCUGCACUCACACUUGGGAACCAGCCAGCCUGAAAGUCCCUGUUCUCAGGUUCUGGGACCAACACUGCAUUCUUAGAAGCCUGGGUCCGGCCGGGGCCCCUGACGUUGUGGCUGGGGGUCCACAGACCUGGGUUCUCAGCCCCGCUUUGCCACUUCCUCGCCCUGAAGCCUCAGCCAAGUUGCUUCCCCGUCUGGACCUAUUCCUCGUCUGUUAAAUGGGGUGAUCACCCACCACCCGCUGCCUCAGAGGGACAGUGAAAAUGGGGAGUCCUGAAAGGCCAGAGCUGGAAAGUCCCCGAAGAGUCCUUACAGAGGAGGCAGGUGGGAAAGGAGGGAGAUUGUCCCCAGUCCCACAGCCAGUGGGUAGCAGGGCCGUGAGGUUCUGGAAAGAGCACUGCAUUGGGAGGUAGCACUUGGCCCAAGCCUCACUCAGCUCCUUCCUAGCUAUGGGACCUUGGCCAAGUCAACCAAGGCCCCUGGGCCUUUUCCUACAAGACAGCAAACCUCGUCUCCCAGGGCUCCUGGGGCGCGCAGAUGCUCCGUACUGUGUUGUGAACAGGAAGGGCUUCUUGCUGGAGGUAGACUGGAACUCAGAUCUCAAGGGUUCCCGUUCUUUGCUGCCCCCUCCCCUGAACUCCAUAUGCAAGGAGUGGGGUCUGGCACCUCCUGUGGGGAGGACUCCUCUUGCUUGCCUCUACCCCUGCCUCCCCCCAUUGGGUGAGAGGUGGCAAAUCUCUUUCCUUGAUUCCACUGAGUCACUGGAGGCCGCGCUCUUGGAGGAGCUGCGUGUGAAGUCACCUCUCCCACAUCAGCAGCCAGAGACGCCAUUGCCACUGACACUGUGGCACCCAAACCCCCGUCUACUGCAGGCUGGCAGAGCCCUCCACAGACCCAGGAGCCGAAACAGCCUUUGUGGUGCAGCCAAGGGUUGGAAAAACUGAGCCCAGAUUGGGGCCAGGACAUACCCAACAUCACAGCACAGAUGAAGACACAGCCAGGACCAGAACCCAAAUCUCCUACACCAGUGGGCUUUCCCCCCUGAGCCUGAACAUGGAGUCAUCACUGGCUCAGUGACUACUGAGUGGAAAGGGAUUCGAGACGGCAGAGCACUGUGCGGAGAUAGCUGGGCAUGAGGGGAGAGAAUGCAAGCCUCAGCUGGGAAUCGGGACUCUUGGAUUCUCGUCUUCUCAGAUUGACUUAAUUCACCACUUCAGAGAGGUACUCCUUGGGAUCAUAAAUGAACUACCUGCAACUCACAUCCUAGUGUGAGUUGCAGGGUCUGCUUUCAGAUCAGCCCAAACUCAGGACUGUCUGUCUCCAGAGCCAACACUCAACUAUCACGUUAUGCAUCAUCCCACCUCACCCCCAGGGACCUCCCUCAUAAUGGAAGCAGCAGCAAAGACUUCAUAAUGAACCGCACCAGAUUCUAGAGGCACCUGCAUUCCUUGGCUUGUGGCCUCUUCCUCCAUCUCAAAGUGCAUCGCUCCAAUUUCUGCUUCUGUCAUCACAUCGCCUUUUCCUCCAGCUCCGACUCCUCCUGCAUCCAUCUGAAAAGGGUAAUCCAGGAUAUUCUCCCUAUCUCAAGAUCCUUCAUCACAUCUGCAAAGUCUCAGAGUCUCGCUCUGUCGCCAAGCUGGAGUACAGUGGUGCGAUCUCAGCUCACUGCAACCUCUGCCUCACUGCAACCUCUGCCUCCCGGAUUCAAGCGAUUCUCCUGCCUCAAGCUCCUGAGUAGCUGGGACGACAAACUGCUACCAAAGGGGCCACGCAGGACGUCCUCUGGGGAAUGCUGGCUCCCACACCACCCGCCUCGGCUCCUGGGCCAAGGUUUUGCCUUGAUCUGUCCAUCCCACUGCACAUGGCUUCAAGGAGGCAUUCAUGGGAAUCCCUGCUCAGGUCAGGCAGCAUCGUGUCAAGGUCAUGGCCCCUUGAAGAUUCUUUGAGGAAGUGGCUGUUGAGCUCCCAACCCCCGGGCUGGAGCAGGAGGAUCAGACACCCCGGCCUCAGCCCCAGAGCAUGAAAGCCCUCCCCCCUCACCCAGCUGCUCUGCAGACCCACACUUGCACACAACUCCAUGUGCCGCUGACCAGCUCUGACCUCGUCCUGGGCAAGGCUGGCGGGGCCUAGACCCAAACCCACAACAGUGUGUGGCUCCCAGGGAGGCAGCGUUUCCUGGGCACCAGCUCUUUAGAGGAUGCCUUCAGAAGUCCCAAUCCAGCCUCUCCCCUCAUGAAAUCCUGUCCUUGAAUCAUCCAGCCUAGCCCCCUGCGUAGCUGUGCAUUUCCGAGACCCCGAAUCCAUAAUAUUCAUAUGAGUGAGGUGGAGGGCAGGGAGAAUCGCUGCCAUUUAUUCAACCCUUAAUAAAUGCUGGGUGCUGCACAAAGCACUUUAAAUAAA